CAGGGGACACCCGGGAGAGGGGGGAGGCACAGCCGGGGCUGCUCCAUCCCUCAAAGUGCCCGUGGUUGAACAGGGCUUGGAGCAGCUUGCUCUGCUGGAAGGUGUCCCUGCUCAGGAACAAGAUGUCCUUUAAGGUCCCUCCCACCAGCCAAAUCGUUCUGUGGCUCGUAUUCUCUAAGGGUUUUUCAAGAACACCUGGUGGAUAUUUCAUAGACACAAAGAAAUCCUUCCCAAAGGAGGUAGACAAGCUCUGGAGCAGCACCAAGAGCUUAUAGAGGCUGAGAAGGCCUCUCCAGCCUGAGAAGCUGCAGAGGUUGAAAAGGCCUCUCCACCCUGAGAAGCUGCAGAGGUUAAAGAUAACCAGAACUUGCCCAAACAAAGCCCUGUGAUGUAGUUUCAGAGCUGUCCUUGCUUUGAGUAAAGGGCUGGAGCAGGUGAUAUCCAGA